UUCCCCGGCAAUGGGCAGAGAGACAUUUUGUUGUUGUUGUUCUUCUUAUAUCAGUCAGGGGCAGAGCCGAUGGCGGUCCUUUGUUCAUCUUAGCUUGAUGCCUGGCUUGGUGACCAAAGCUGUCUUAUGCCUAGGACUCAUAA